AUGAAGGAGGUUGUGCUGCUUGCCGGAGUGAGGAGGCGCCGGAGGGAGGAGGUUGCACCGCCCGCGAUGCUCGCCGGAGUGAGGAGGUUGCGCUCCACACUGGCCUGCACUGCCCGCGCUGCUCGCCGGAGUGAGGAGGCGCCGGAGGGAUUAGACCGCGCUGCUCACCAGCCCGUGCCGCGCCGCCCGUGCUGCUCCCCGGAGAGAGGAGGCACCGGAGGGAGGAGUCAUCAGCGGGAGGAGGCCGCGCCGUGCUGCUCACCGGCCCGUGCCGCGCCGCUCGCGCUGCUCGCCCGAGGGAGGAGUCGUCAGAGGGCAGAGGCCGUGCUGCGCUGCUCGCCGGAGUGA
rnacentral:rRNA from 1 species